UGAGGACCUGAGGAUCUGAAGGAGGCUGC
rnacentral:piRNA from 1 species